AGAGUUUGAUCCUGGCUCAGAUUGAACGCUGGCGGCAUGCCUUACACAUGCAAGUCGAACGGUAACGCGGGGGCAACCCUGGCGACGAGUGGCGAACGGGUGAGUAAUACAUCGGAACAUAUCCAGUAGCGGGGGAUAACCUAUCGAAAGAUGGACUAAUGCCGCAUACGAUCUACGGAUGAAAGCAGGGGACCGCAAGGCCUUGCACUAUUGGAGUGGCCGAUGUCGGAUUAGCUAGUUGGUGGGGUAAAAGCUUACCAAGGCGACGAUCCGUAGCUGGUCUGAGAGGACGAUCAGCCACACUGGAACUGAGACACGGUCCAGACUCCUACGGGAGGCAGCAGUGGGGAAUUUUGGACAAUGGGCGCAAGCCUGAUCCAGCCAUGCCGCGUGAGUGAAGAAGGCCUUCGGGUUGUAAAGCUCUUUCGGUGAAGACGAAACGGUUCAUGCUAAUAACGUGAACUAAUGACGGUACUCACAGAAGAAGCGCCGGCUAACUACGUGCCAGCAGCCGCGGUAAUACGUAGGGUGCAGGCGUUAAUCGGAAUUACUGGGCGUAAAGCGUGCGCAGGCGGUUUGCUAAGACAGGUGUGAAAUCCCCGGGCUUAACCUGGGAAUUGCGCUUGUAACUGGCAAGCUAGAGUGUGGCAGAGGGGGGUGGAAUUCCACGUGUAGCAGUGAAAUGCGUAGAUAUGUGGAGGAACACCGAUGGCGAAGGCAGCCCCCUGGGUUAACACUGACGCUCAUGCACGAAAGCGUGGGGAGCAAACAGGAUUAGAUACCCUGGUAGUCCACGCCCUAAACUAUGUCAACUAGUUGUCGGGGAAGAAAUUCCUUGGUAACGAAGCUAACGCGUGAAGUUGACCGCCUGGGGAGUACGGCCGCAAGGUUAAAACUCAAAGGAAUUGACGGGGACCCGCACAAGCGGUGGAUUAUGUGGAUUAAUUCGAUGCAACGCGAAAAACCUUACCUACCCUUGACAUGCUAGGAAGCCCGCAGAGAUGUGGGUGUGCCCGAAAGGGAACCUAGACACAGGUGCUGCAUGGCUGUCGUCAGCUCGUGUCGUGAGAUGUUGGGUUAAGUCCGCAACGAGCGCAACCCUUGCCAUUAGUUGCUACAUUCAGUUGGGCACUCUAAUGGGACCGCCGGUGACAAACCGGAGGAAGGUGGGGAUGACGUCAAGUCCUCAUGGCCCUUAUGGGUAGGGCUUCACACGUAAUACAAUGGUCGGUACAGAGGGCUGCCAACCCGCAAGGGGGAGCUAAUCCCAGAAAGCCGAUCGUAGUCCGGAUUGUAGUCUGCAACUCGACUGCAUGAAGCCGGAAUCGCUAGUAAUCGCGGAUCAGCAUGUCGCGGUGAAUACGUUCCCGGGUCUUGUACACACCGCCCGUCACACCAUGGGAGUGGGUUCCACCAGAAGUAGUUAGCCUAACCGCAAGGAGGGCGAUUACCACGGUGAGAUUCAUGACUGGGGUGAAGUCGUAACAAGGUA
rnacentral:rRNA from 1 species